GGGAGAGAGGCCCUGGGUUCCAUCCCCAGCAGGGCCCAGGAAGAUUAAGGGCACACACUUGUGGAGGGCAGUGAGCUUUCCUCUUUAUUAAUGCAUUAAAUAAGCAAUUGGCAGAUCCCAAAAUACCACAGUUUUGAUGCCAAGAUGAGUGGAGAUACCUGCAGGUCCUGUAGUAUCAUGUGGAGAUGGCCGCAGUUGCUAGGUCAGACUGUCACGGGUACUUUCCUGCCACUGUCAUCUGUCACUCACACUUAGGGAAGGACAUGAUCGAGUUCACUGAGGUUAGCAAAAAUAAAGAUGCUGUUUUCCCCCAAACAAGCUUAAACAGGCCCCCUGAAUUCCACGCACAUGUCCUGGGGGUCCCCGGAAUAAGAAGAUAACAGAUGAAGUGUUUUUCUGGGACCAACAACAGGGACAAGUGGCGGCAGGAGUCACCAGGGGAUGGCAGCGAGGAACGACCGCACCGUGGCUGGCGGCUCCUCCACUGCCGGGCAGUCGGGGAGGACUGGCUGGACCUUCCCGAGGUGGCUCUCGGCCAGCUGUCCUCGAGGCAGUGCCCACCGACUCUCUCGUUUGUUUAUAUUUUCCCUCUCGAUGACAACAUUUGUUUUACAUAUUGUGAAACGAAAAACACAACCUGGGGAGAUGCGUCCCCCGUGCGCACACACACACACACACGCAUGCUCCCUCUCGGCGCACAUGCACACCACACGCCUUUGCACGCACGCAUGCACACUUGAUCACACCCACCAGCUUCCGCGUGCACAAAGGCCAGCUGCUCAGAGGACCCGGCCUGCAGCUCCGCUGGCCCGUCUGGCUGGCCGUGCCCACCUGGGAGACAUCACGCCAGGCCGACCGUGGCAGGGCGGGCUGGUCGCCUCAUCUCUGGCCUUCCUAUUUUCUCGACAAAGGAGCUGGCCGGCCCCGCGGGAGGCCCUCCCCGAGGCUCUCUGAGGCCAUUUACCUAAUGGCCUUCACAGACUCGACUAUUUUUAAAAC
rnacentral:lncRNA from 1 species